UAGCGGCAGGCCUAAUACAUGCAAGUCGGACGGGAUUGGAGAGCUUGCUUUUCAUGAGAGUGGCGCACGGGUGCGUAACACGUAUGUAACCUACCUUCUUCAGGGGGAUAGCCUCUCGAAAGAGAGAUUAAGACCGCAUAAUAUUGCAAUGUGGCAUCACAAAGCAAUCAGAUAUUUAUAGGAAGAAGAUGGGCAUGCGGAACAUUAGCUAGUUGGUAAGGUAAUGGCUUACCAAGGCUACGAUGUUUAGGGGAUCUGAGAGGAUGGCCCCCCACACUGGUACUGAGACACGGACCAGACUCCUACGGGAGGCAGCAGUAAGGAAUAUUGGUCAAUGGACGGAAGUCUGAACCAGCCAUGCCGCGUGCAGGAAGACGGCCCUACGGGUUGUAAACUGCUUUUGCAGGGGAAUAAACCCCGAUACGUGUAUCGGGCUGAAUGUACUCUGAGAAUAAGGAUCGGCUAACUCCGUGCCAGCAGCCGCGGUAAUACGGAGGAUCCAAGCGUUAUCCGGAUUUAUUGGGUUUAAAGGGUGCGUAGGUGGCCUGUUAAGUCAGGGGUGAAAGACGGUAGCUUAACUAUCGCAGUGCCCUUGAUACUGAUGGGCUUGAAUGAACUAGAGGUAGGCGGAAUGUGACAAGUAGCGGUGAAAUGCAUAGAUAUGUCACAGAACACCAAUUGCGAAGGCAGCUUACUAUGGUUUUAUUGACACUGAGGCACGAAA
rnacentral:rRNA from 1 species